CCGGAGAGGGAGCCUGAGAAACGGCUACCACAUCCAAGGAAGGCAGCAGGCGCGCAAAUUACCCAAUCCCGACACGGGGAGGUAGUGACAAUAAAUAACAAUACAGGGCUCUUACGGGUCUUGUAAUUGGAAUGAGUACAAUUUAAAUCCCUUAACGAGGAACAAUUGGAGGGCAAGUCUGGUGCCAGCAGCCGCGGUAAUUCCAGCUCCAAUAGCGUAUAUUAAAGUUGUUGCAGUUAAAAAGCUCGUAGUUGAAUUUCGGGGUUCUACCGUUGGUCGGGCUACCAAGUCUGUACUGAUGUGUAGAAUUUCUACCUUCUGGGGAACUAUCAUGUUAUUAAUUUAGCGUGGUGGGAAACCAGGACCUUUACCUUGAAAAAAUUAGAGUGUUCAAAGCAGGCUUACGUCUGAAUACAUUAGCAUGGAAUAAUAGAAUAGGACGGUGGUCCUGUUUUGUUGGUUUCUGAAUCACCGUAAUGAUUAAUAGGGAUAGUUGGGGGCAUUAGUAUUCAAUUGUCAGAGGUGAAAUUCUUGGAUUUAUUGAAGACUAACUUCUGCGAAAGCAUUUGCCAAGGAUGUUUUCAUUAAUCAAGAACGAAAGUUAGGGGAUCGAAGACGAUCAGAUACCGUCGUAGUCUUAACCAUAAACUAUGCCGACUAGGGAUCGGACGAUGUUAACUUUUAUUGACUCGUUCGGCGCCU
rnacentral:rRNA from 1 species